rnacentral:tRNA from 1 species
GCCCAUGUAGCUCAGCAGGUAGAGCACAUCCUUGGUAAGGAUGAGGUCACCGGUUCGAGUCCGGUCGUGGGCU